rnacentral:rRNA from 1 species
GAUGAAAGCUGGCGGCGUGCCUAAUACAUGCAAGUCGAGCGAACGGACGAGAAGCUUGCUUCUCUGAUGUUAGCGGCGGACGGGUGAGUAACACGUGGAUAACCUACCUAUAAGACUGGGAUAACUUCGGGAAACCGGAGCUAAUACCGGAUGAUAUUUUGAACCGCAUGGUUCAAAAGUGAAAGACGGUCUUGCUGUCACUUAUAGAUGGAUCCGCGCUGCAUUAGCUAGUUGGUAAGGUAACGGCUUACCAAGGCAACGAUGCAUAGCCGACCUGAGAGGGUGAUCGGCCACACUGGAACUGAGACACGGUCCAGACUCCUACGGGAGGCAGCAGUAGGGAAUCUUCCGCAAUGGGCGAAAGCCUGACGGAGCAACGCCGCGUGAGUGAUGAAGGUCUUCGGAUCGUAAAACUCUGUUAUUAGGGAAGAACAUAUGUGUAAGUAACUGUGCACAUCUUGACGGUACCUAAUCAGAAAGCCACGGCUAACUACGUG